GACGAACGCUGGCGGCGUGCUUAACACAUGCAAGUCGAACGGAAAGGCCCUGCUUUUGUGGGGUGCUCGAGUGGCGAACGGGUGAGUAACACGUGAGUAACCUGCCCUUGACUUUGGGAUAACUUCAGGAAACUGGGGCUAAUACCGGAUAGGAGCUCCUGCUGCAUGGUGGGGGUUGGAAAGUUUCGGCGGUUGGGGAUGGACUCGCGGCUUAUCAGCUUGUUGGUGGGGUAGUGGCUUACCAAGGCUUUGACGGGUAGCCGGCCUGGGAGGGUGACCGGCCACAUUGGGACUGGGAUAUGGCCCAGACUCCUACGGGAGGCAGCAGUGGGGAAUAUUGCACAAUGGGCGGAAGCCUGAUGCAGCAACGCCGCGUGCGGGAUGACGGCCUUCGGGUUGUAAACCGCUUUCGCUUGUGACGAAGCGUGAGUGACGGUAAUGGGGAAAGAAGCACCGGCUAACUACGU
rnacentral:rRNA from 1 species